CACAUGACUCUCGGCAACGGAUAUCUCGGCUCUCGCAUCGAUGAAGAACGUAGCAAAAUGCGAUACCUGGUGUGAAUUGCAGAAUCCCGUGAACCAUCGAGUUUUUGAACGCAAGUUGCGCCUGAUGCCUUCUGGCUGAGGGCACGUCUGCCUGGGCGUCACGC
rnacentral:rRNA from 1 species